AGCGAACGCUGGCGGCAGGCCUAACACAUGCAAGUCGAACGAAGUCUUCGGACUUAGUGGCGGACGGGUGAGUAACACGUGGGAACGUGCCUUUAGGUUCGGAAUAACUCAGGGAAACUCGUGCUAAUACCGAAUGUGCCCUUCGGGGGAAAGAUUUAUCGCCUUUAGAGCGGCCCGCGUCUGAUUAGCUAGUUGGUGAGGUAAAGGCUCACCAAGGCGACGAUCAGUAACUGGUCUGAGAGGAUGAUCAGCCACAUUGGGACUGAGACACGGCCCAAACUCCUACGGGAGGCAGCAGUGGGGAAUCUUGCGCAAUGGGCGAAAGCCUGACGCAGCCAUGCCGCGUGAAUGAUGAAGGUCUUAGGAUUGUAAAAUUCUUUCACCGGGGACGAUAAUGACGGUACCCGGAGAAGAAGUCCCGGCUAACUUCGUGCCAGCCGCCGCGGUAAUAC
rnacentral:rRNA from 1 species